rnacentral:lncRNA from 1 species
AUGCAUCCUAGAGCCCGUGGGAUGGAAGGGAAGGGGGCUUGCCUCUUUGCCCCUUCUGGGGGGCUCCCCUUUCCCUUCUCACCUGCCCUCAUCCACGCCAGGAAAAAGGGGGGCACACCGCCAGCUAAGGAGACAUCUGAUUGCCCCGUGAGAAGCAAGAGGUGCCUUGUUCCCUGCCAAAAGCUGAAGAAGGGCAGAAAAGGAAGUGUGUUUGUCACCAGUGUCCACCCCUCUCUACCAGGAUUUGUCUUCCCCAGCUACCCACAACAACUUAAUAUCAUGUGGUUUAGAGUUGGCUAGGAAGCCAUUUGGGGUGAGCCCCUCAUUUUGGUGGCAAGGAGCCUGAAUCCCCAGGAAGGGAAAUGUUGAAGUCAAGGUCACUAGUCUUCUGACUCCAAAUCCAUUUUCCCUCCACAAUGCCAUGCUAUUCAUUCAUUCUUCAGCAUUUGUUAUGCAUCUACUGUGUACAUGAGGGGAUUCAAGGGAAGGCGAUUGGAGGUGCUGACCCUCAGAUUGCUUCUUGCUUGAGGAUGAUAUGAAUCUUCAGAAGACCUAGGGCUGCUCAAAAGAAACUGGACUAACGAUCCACAUGGGGAAGCUAAAUGGAUGAUAAUGUCCAUUGCCCAGGUGAUGCCAUACAGCUGACUGACUGGCCCGGCAAUUAAACAUAAUGGUGGCUCAGCAGGCAAACAGAUGAGCCAAGUCUGGGAUUGAAGGGAGUGAGCUGGAUCCCAUUUGGGAAAUGAACUGUUUUUUCAAGGAUCAUUCAGAAAUUCUCCUUUAUGAUACUUAUAUUCUUUUAGUGAUGUGGAAAGGCCGUGCCCUUUAGAACAUCAAAUAUCAGUGGAGAAGCCCACGGCGAACACCAGGAAAAAACAAGUCCCCAGGCAGUGCAUGAGAAGGGCUGAGAAUACAUCGUUAGUGAGGAAUGAGCCCAGAACUAGAUGAGCUAGUUGUUCAACAAGCGUGAGGAGCCACAGAUGGGCUACCUGAGCAUCUCCAUGCCUGGGGAAGGCCUCCAGAGUGUUGGGUUUAUGAGGAAGCAGGGACAAGGACUGCUCAAAAUGAGAAGGUAGGGAUCUACACCUCGGCAGAGAGUGAUCUCACCCUCCACCGGGUGUCAGGGCUUCCCACCUCCUGAAAUUAACACCUAAGUUCGAUCACAGCCUGGGAAGACUCCCCCCGCCCAAAAAAAAAAAAAAAAAAAAAAGUUUUGCUCUCUUUGGAUGCCUACAGAUCUAGUAUUCAGAGAAGAUGCUUCAUUGAACUCGUGUGGGCAAAUCCUUCCCUUCCUCCAAGACGCAGUUCCAGUUGAUGAAUCAGCCCACAAGUAAGUACGUAUUAAGCCUGUACUGUGUGACUUGCACUGCUUUCUCAAGUUUUCCAGCUAACAAGGCCAUUUUUUCCAGGGCCUUUGAUCUCUUU